rnacentral:lncRNA from 1 species
GGAAGGAGAAGAAGAAGGAGAUCAAGAGGAAGGCUUGGAGCACCUCCAUCUCCCUCUCCUCUUCCCAUUGGUGUAGCUCUUGAGGUAAGCUACUAAACCCUAGCUUUGUAAACUUAGGGUUUUGGGUUUUUAUGCUUUGGAAUGGGCCAAAUGGACUCUAGGCAAGCUUCUAAAUAGAUCAAUCCCAUGAUUCUAGGGUUUUAUCGGUGGGUUGCUAUAUGUGCAACCUAGGGCUCCAAAUGGGGGCAUUUUGUAAAGUGUGAGAUUGAUCUCAUUUGAGGCUUUGUAAACCUCAUCGAUAGGUGCCCAAACGCGGGGGCGAAGUCGAUUUCGCGAUUCGUCGAGCGAGCUUGGAUGUAAGGUACCGGACUUCUAAAAUAAUGAAGUUACGGUGUACAUUUGGUUGGAGAGCCAUUUGAAGGGUUCCGGUGAAGUUCGGUGAAGUUCGGGAGAAUCCGGGCGAUUUGGUGUGCGUAGGCGCGGAAAGGGACCCGAAAGGUCAUGUCGGACCAUGAACUAAACCCGGCAUUAGCAGGGAUUAAAAGAUGAUAAAAACAUGCUCGAAAACAUGUUUGGGGAGUCUCGGUUCGAUUUGAAACGAAUCGGAGGUCAAACGAGCGAAAACGGAGCGAAAACGGACCCCGAAAGCUGAAAAAGCUGAAAAUUUGGCUAAGUCUGGAAUGCUGUUUUUCUGGACAUUCGGGGACCGGUCCCUCAAGUCUAGAGACCGGUCCCAGCACCCGAAAAUGGCCCAGUUUGGGCUGUGUGUGACUUAUAUUGUUGAGGGACCUUUGUGCAAUUGUGCCAAGGGUAUAGAGAGGGUUGGGGGCUCAUUUCCUCUCCUUCUCCCUCACACUUUGUAACCUAAACUCUCUCUCUCUCUCUAGAAAGAAAAGAAAGAGAAGAAGAAGAAGAGGAAAGGGAAGGAGAAGGUGGAGGAGAAGGCUUGGAGAAGGAGUUCUACUUCUUCUUCCUCCUCUUUUGGCCAUUGGAGAAGCUUGUUUGAGGUAAGCUUUACACCCUCUAAUGGUAGCUUCUAGUUUAUAAGUUUUUAAGCUCUAGAAAUGGGAUUUAAUGGUGAUUUAGAGAUUGUUAAUCUCAUUUGUUGCAAGAUCUAUAGCUUUAUGUUGCUCUUUGCAACAAUGAGGAGUUAGAGCUCCAAAUGAGAGCUUUAAUGGUAGAUCUCUAGGGCUUUAGUCUUAUGCUCUAGAGAUGGAUUUAGUAACCUUCCUAGAUGCUAAUUAGAUGGAUUAUGUUUAGAUCCAAAGUUCUAAUGGUGGGUUUUUGUCUAAUUGCGACCUAGGGCUCCAAAAUGGGGUUUUAGUAAAUCUUAGGUUAUGAUCUAUUUUGAGUGGUCAGAAACCUAAUUGCCAUGUCUCCGAACGCGUAGGAAGCGACGGUUCGUCGAUUCGUCGAGCGGGUGCGACGUUCCGGCUGAAACAAGUGCUAGAAGGUCCGUUUUGGCCCGAGGAGCCGAGGCGACGUGCGAAGACCACGAAGACAAGCUUUCUAACCUUUCGGCAUUACCAAAAGGUGGGGGAGUGCCAUCCCGAAGCAGUCGGGCUACUCUUUAUGUCUAAGUGCUAAGUUGACCUAAUUGCAUAUUGUGAUAUUGCAUUAUAGGGUGCUAAAUGUAAUUGUUACAUAUUCUUGCAUGCUAAUAGAAUAGUGUAGAGUUGAGUUGCUUAACACCUAAAUCUAGUAUGCAUGAGAUUAACGUCAAAUGACUUGAGACCCUAUAAUGAAGUGAUAGUUGAUAGGAAGUGAACCUGCUUAUGUGAAUGAGAAUUUAGUAUGGUAUAACUAAUGUUUGAGAACAACAAACUUGACGAGUGGCAUCUAGUUAACAAACUUGACGAGUGGCAUCUAGUUAAUGUUGAACUUAGGAGAGAACUAGUUC